rnacentral:rRNA from 1 species
UGGGGAAUAUUGCACAAUGGAGGGCACUCUGAUGCAGCGACGCCGCGUGAACGAAGAAGGCUUUCGAGUCGUAAAGUUCUUUUAUAUGGGAAGAUAAUGACGGUACCAUAAGAAAAAGCCCCGGCUACCUACGUGCCAGCAGCCGCGGUAAUACGUAGGGGGCUAGCGUUGUCCGGAAUCACUGGGCGUAAAGGGUUCGCAGGCGGAAAUGCAAGUCAGGUGUAAAAGGCAGUAGCUUAACUACUGUAAGCAUUUGAAACUGCAUAUCUUGAGAAGAGUAGAGGGAAGUGGAAUUUUUAGUGUAGCGGUGAAAUGCGUAGAUAUUAAAAAGAAUACCGGUGGCGAAGGCGACUUACUGGGCUCAUUCUGACGCUGAGGAACGAAAGCGUGGGUAGCAAACAGG